UCACUGGUGACUGGAGUGCAGAGGUGUGCUCAGGGAGUACCAUAGCCUGCUGUCUCAGGUGAACAAGCCAACGUACAAUUUCCAUUUUACACUUCAGUUUCUUGUAGCUGUUUAUGUUAUGGAGAAGAAAGAUAUAUUGGCCUAUUUUUCUGACUUUUCCCUUAAAGCAGAAUGUCUUUUUCUCUUUGCUUAGUUGUAAAGAAGAGGAAAUACAUGAUAAAGUAACUGGUUUGAUCUCUUUCAUUGUACAUUGACUGCUUCUGAAUAUCCAAUAUUUUUUAGUUAUCUAAAUAAAAUGCCUCUAAAACAAAA